rfam:Schistosoma mattheei strain Denwood, Zambia genome assembly, scaffold: SMTD_contig0000840
AUCAGUUAUGGAGAUAUGGUUCCAGAGACAAUAGUUGGAAAAAUUGUUGGUGGUAUGUGUUCACUUUCUGGAGUGCUUGUAAUUGCUUUACCUGUUCCCGUUAUUGUAUCAAAC